rnacentral:rRNA from 1 species
UACGUAGGGGGCAAGCGUUGUCCGGAAUCAUUGGGCGUAAAGCGCGUGUAGGCGGCUUGGUAAGUCCGGUGUGAAACCUUGGGGCUCAACCCCAAGCCUGCAUCGGAAACUGCCUCGCUCGAGUCCGGGAGGGGAGAGCGGAAUUCCUAGUGUAGCGGUGAAAUGCGCAGAUAUUAGGAAGAACACCGGUGGCGAAGGCGGCUCUCUGGAACGGUACUGACGCUGAGACGCGAAAGCGUGGGGAGCGAACAGG